rnacentral:rRNA from 1 species
UACGUAGGGGGCAAGCGUUGUCCGGAAUUAUUGGGCGUAAAGCGCGCGCAGGCGGCUUUGUAAGUCUGGUGUUUAAACCUAGGGCUCAACCCUGGGUCGCAUUGGAAACUGCAAGGCUUGAGUGCAGAAGAGGAGAGUGGAAUUCCACGUGUAGCGGUGAAAUACGUAGAGAUGUGGAGGAACACCAGUGGCGAAGGCGACUCUCUGGGCUGUAACUGACGCUGAGGCGCGAAAGCGUGGGGAGCAAACAGG